GCUUAGAGUUUGAUCCUGGCUCAGAGCGAACGCUGGCGGCGCGCCUAACACAUGCAAGUCGAACGCGAAAGUUUCCUUCGGGAAGCGAGUAGAGUGGCGGACGGGUGAGUACAACGUGGGUAACUUGCCUCCGAGUGGGGAAUAACCCUCCGAAAGGAGGGCUAAUACCGCAUAAUACUCGGCUCACACAAGUGAGCCGGAUCAAAGAUGGCCUCUGUUUCAUGCUGUCGCUUGGAGAUGGGCCCGCGCCCCAUUAGCUUGUUGGUGAGGUAACGGCUCACCAAGGCUGCGAUGGGUAGCCGACCUGAGAGGGUGAUCGGCCACACUGGGACUGAGACACGGCCCAGACUCCUACGGGAGGCAGCAGUGAGGAAUUUUCCGCAAUGGGCGAAAGCCUGACGGAGCGACGCCGCGUGCGUGAUGAAGGCCUUCGGGUCGUAAAUCGCUGUCGGAGAGGGCGAACUGUCUAUGUGCUAAUACCAUGUAGAUUUGACGGUACUCUCCAAGGAAGCCCCGGCUAACUCCGUGCCAGCAGCCGCGGUAAUACGGGGGGGGCAAGCGUUGCUCGGAAUCAUUGGGCGUAAAGGGCUCGUAGGCGGCCUGAUAAGUCGGUUGUGAAAGCCCACGGCUUAACCGUGGAAUUGCGAUCGAUACUGUCGGGCUUGAGUGCGGGAGAGGAAGGCGGAAUUCCCAGUGUAGCGGUGAAAUGCGUAGAUAUUGGGAGGAACACCGGUGGCGAAGGCGGCUUUCUGGACCGCAACUGACGCUGAGGAGCGAAAGCGUGGGGGAGCAACAGGAUUAGAUACCCUGGUAGUCCACGCUGUAAACGAUGGGCACUUGGUGUGUCGGGUGUCGAUCCCCGACGUGCCGGAGCUAACGCGUUAAGUGCCCCGCCUGGGGAGUACG
rnacentral:rRNA from 1 species